rnacentral:rRNA from 1 species
UACGUAGGGGGGCAAGCGUUGUCCGGAAUUAUUGGGGCGUAAAGAGCUCGUAGGCGGCCUGUUGCGUCCGCUGUGAAAUCCCGGGGCUCAACCCCGGGCCUGCAGUGGAUACGGGCUGGCUGGAGGCAGGCAGGGGAGAACGGAAUUCCUGGUGUAGCGGUGAAAUGCGCAGAUAUCAGGAGGAACACCGGUGGCGAAGGCGGUUCUCUGGGCCUGUACUGACGCUGAGGAGCGAAAGCGUGGGGAGCGAACAGG